UCCAUUGACAGCGUGAAUGGAGCGUUUCUUACCCCAGACUCUUCCUGUUGUGGAGGCAGGGACUUUUUCUCUUUCCCUUGGCGGCUGCUGACUGUGAUUCCAGUUCUGUACCGGCCAACAGGGCAGCCUGGGAGUCUUGACUCUGGCAGAGACUGAUGAAUAAGGAAGGCUGCUGGCAGCAGAGUCUGCAGGCCGGCUCAUGCUGUACGUCAUGCCUCGGAUUUCUCAGAUGUGAAAUUCUGAGCACUGUCCCUCCUUCACCUGCCCAGGGCUGAGCUGACCACUUCACAGUGUAUUCACUCCAUCACCCUGCUUCCCUUGGCGUCUGAGCUAUCUGGCGCGUUACACCCCACUUAGAUGAUUCACCGCAUCUCGUUCCUGUCUGGCAGGUAGCCGCUUCUCAGUACAUAGUACUGAAGGCCGGAAGCUUCUUCUGGUUUCCCUUGAAGAUCUAGAAACUGCUUUUCUGAUGUGGUCAGAAGUCUGAAGUCCCCCAUGAAGGGAAAGUCCUCUUCUCUCCACUCAAAAGCUCCAAGGACUGAAACCUCCACCAAAAACAAGGUGAGUACCUGAGUAAAUUUACCCAGCACACCAUACUCUCAAUUGGUGGCAUGGAAACACCAAUCAUGCUUGGCUCAAAGCUCAGCUAUGAAGAUCGUCUGAUACGUGUAGUGCAUUCAUUCCACAAGCAAGGAACUCUGAACCUUCACUUCUGGGAGGCGAAUGAGUGGAGCAGCCCAUUUGGAGCCUGAAGGGAGAUCCAGAGCAGGUGAGAAACAGUCCUUCAAAUGACUAUUAAACAACUCAGGCAUUGAAAGGAUGAGAGCUGUUCCCAGAGAGGUGAACUGCGACCAUAUAGGGACUGAUCCCGGUCUAUCUGGAGGGUGAGCUGGCUGAACCUCUUGUGACUAACACGCUCGCCAGGGGGAUCUGGCCUUGUCCAAACAGCAGCCGAUCUCACUAGAUGUCCUCCUGGACAUCUAGCAAUGUGUAAGGAUUUUUGCUUGCUAUAUCUUGGAAAGAGAGGGGCCACAUGGCCAUGGCAUUCAGUGGAAAGAGGCCAGGCAUGCUUCCCCUCUACACUAUGCCUUACCUAGGACAGCCCCGACGCCAAAAUUAAACCCUUCCAAAAUGUCAGGAGUGGUGAAACUGAUAAACUUUGCAUGCUACAUAGAGAACAGCAAGGGCAGGAAUGAAAAGAGAAGUUGUCCUGGAGGAAACAAACCUAAGUCUAGAGUGGCUGAAUGAAUGGAGACGAAGUGGAAGAAGUGAGGAAUUUGGGGUUACCCCUUGAGCAGCGAGAAAGCUCUCGGAAACGUUUCCUUCGGGAGGAUGAAAGCUGUGCAAAGCGCUUAGCACGUACAGGCGCCCAGGGGGUAAGGUCUGUUAAUUGUCACCAUUGUGU